AACACGUGGGUGACCUGCCUCGAAGACGGGGAUAACUACUGGAAACGGUGGCUAAUACCCGAUGGUCUCGAUAAUUCGGUUUAUCGAGUAAAGGCUCCGGCGCUUUGAGAGGGACCUGCGGCCCAUCAGCUAGUUGGUAGGGUAAUGGCCUACCAAGGCAAAGACGGGUAGGGGGCGUGAGAGCGUGACCCCCCACACUGGCACUGGGACACGGGCCAGACUCCUACGGGAGGCAGCAGUGAGGAAUAUUGCGCAAUGAGCGAAAGCUAGACGCAGCAACGCCGCGUGGGUGAUGAAGGCCUUCGGGUCGUAAAACCCUUUUCUGGGGGAAGAGUAAGGACGGUACCCCAGGAAUAAGCCUCGGCUAACUAUGUGCCAGCAGCCGCGGUAAUACAUAGGAGGCAAGCGUUAUCCGGAUUUACUGGGCGUAAAGAGCGUUGAGGCGGCUUCGUAAGUUGGACGUGAAAGCUCCCGGCUUAACUGGGAGAGGCCGUUCAAUACUGCGGGGCUUGAGGACAGCAGAGGGGGGUGGAAUUUCCGGUGUAGUGGUGAAAUGCGUAGAUAUCGGAAGGAACACCAGUGGCGAAGGCGGCCCCCUGGGCUGCUCCUGACGCUGAAGGCGAAAGCUAGGGUAGCGAACGGGAUUAGAAACCCCGGUAGUCCUAGCCGUAAACGAUGGAUACUAGGUGUAGGAGGUUAAAAUUCCUUCUGUGCCGGAGCUAACGCGUUAAGUAUCCCGCCUGGGGAGUACGGUCGCAAGGCUAAAACUCAAAGGAAUUGACGGGGGCCCGCACAAGCAGCGGAGCGUGUGGUUUACUUGGAUGUAACGCGAAGAACCUUACCAGGGCUUGACAUGUAGGUAGUAGUGAAGCGAAAGCGGAACGAUCCUUCGGGAAGCGUACUCAGGUUCUGCAUGGCAGUUGUCAGCUGGUGCCGUGAGGUGUUAGGUUAAGUCCUGUAAAGAGGGCAACCCCGGCCGUUAGUUACAAGUGUCUAAGCGGGACUGCCCGGCAAAACUGGGUAGGAGAGGUGGGGAUGACGUCAAGUCAGCAUGGCCUUUAUGUCCUGGGCUACACACACGCUACAAUGGCCGGUACAAUGGGUUGCCA
rnacentral:rRNA from 1 species